rnacentral:rRNA from 1 species
AGAGUUUGAUCCUGGCUCAGAGCGAACGCUGGCGGCGUGCCUAACACAUGCAAGUCGAGCGGAGACAGCAGCAAUGUUGUUUUAGCGGCGGACGGGUGAGUAACGCGUGGGCAACCUGCCUUUAACUGGGGGAUAACACAGGGAAACUUGUGCUAAUACCGCAUAACACCAUAGGAGGACAUCCUCUAGUGGUCAAAGGA